rnacentral:rRNA from 1 species
UCGAUAUAAUUUGAUAUAGGAUUGUUUUACUGUAAUUAUUUGAAUUUUACAAUUUUAUAUAAAUCAUUUUAUUGUUAGUGUAUUCGUUAAAAAUUAAAUUAUGAAGGUUAUAUUAAAUUAGUACUGUGAAGGAAAAUUAAUGUAAUAUUAUUAAUUUAUAAGUUGAAUUAACUUUUUGUACCUUGUGUAUCAGGAUUUAUUAAUAAAGUUUUAUUGACCUUAAUUUUCUCGAUUUCUUUAGAGUUAAUAAAUUAUUUUAUUUAUUGUGGAAUAAAUAUUUAUAAUAAUUUAUUAGAAGUGAAAUGUUAUUCGUUAAUGAAGAUAUCUAGUUCUUUAGGAAAUAAAUUUAAUUUACAUUUUUUCUUUAAUAUUUUACUUUGUAAUAUUAUUUUAGAUGAAAUUAUUAAUAGUAGGGAUUAGCUUAUUAUUAAAUACUUAUAUUGAAAUAAGUUUAAAAAAUUAUAUAAAUUUAGAAUUGAUUAUUAUUAUAAAUAUGUUAAAAUGUUAUUUUGUUAAUUAAGGAUUUAUUUUUCUUUUAAGUUAAUACUAAAGGUUUUUAAAUAAUGAAUUAUUGAUUUUGAUUAUGAUAAAAUUAGUAUAAAAUAUUUUAUGAAUAUUCUUUAGAAUGUAUAAUUAUUUUAAGGAACUAGGCAAAAUUUUAUUAUUCGCCUGUUUAACAAAAACAUCUCUUCUUGGUUGUAUAAGAAGUAUAACCUGCCCAAUGAAUUUUUUUCAAUGGCCGCGGUAUAUUGACCGUGCAAAGGUAGCAUAAUCAUUAGUCUUUUAAUUGGAGGCUGGAAUGAAUGGUUGGACGAGAUAAUAACUGUCUUAAUUUUAUAAGGUUGAAUUUAAUUUUUAGGUUAAAAAGCUUAAAUUGUUUUUUGGGACGAGAAGACCCUAUAGAGUUUAAAUAUAGUUUGAAGUUAAUUUAAGUUUGUAAUUUAUUUAAUUGUUUAUAGUAUUUCGUUGGGGUGAUGAAAAGAUAAAUAUAACUCUUUUAUAAUUUUAAUUAUAUAUUUAUAUACCUAUGAUCCACUUAUAGUGAUUAUAAGACUAAAUUACCUUAGGGAUAACAGCGUAAUUUUUUUUAAGAGUUCAUAUCGACAAAAAUGAUUGCGACCUCGAUGUUGGAUUAAGAUUAUUUUUAGGUGUAGAAGCUUAAAAGUUAGGUCUGUUCGACCUUUAAAUUCUUACAUGAUCUGAGUUCAAACCGGUGUAAGCCAGGUUGGUUUCUAUCUAAUAAUAAUUAUAAUACUUUAGUACGAAAGGACCAUGUAUUAGAAAUAAUUUUUAUUAAUUUUGAUUAUUAUUAACUAUUUUGACAGAUAAGUGUAAUAGAUUUAGAAUCUAUAAAUGUAAUUUUAAAUUGCAAAUAG